rnacentral:rRNA from 1 species
CACGUAGGGCGCAAGCGUUGUCCGGAAUUAUUGGGCGUAAAGAGCUCGUAGGCGGUCUGUUGCGUCCGCUGUGAAAACUCGGGGCUUAACCCCGAGCCUGCAGUGGAUACGGGCAGACUAGAGGUAGGUAGGGGAGAAUGGAAUUCCCGGUGUAGCGGUGAAAUGCGCAGAUAUCGGGAGGAACACCGGUGGCGAAGGCGGGUUCUCUGGGCCGUACCUGACGCUGAGGAGCGAAAGCGUGGGGAGCGAACAGG